UCACCUCAAGUAUAUUUUCAUCCAAGUGGGCCAUAGUAUGGGCAGCAUAUGCUUCUUGGGCAACGACCUGUGAUGUACUACCAACCGUAAAUGUAAUACAAAGGAAGGGAAUAUAAACCAGUUGUGUGUUGACAGCAUCCUUGAG